CAAACACAUUUUGUCUUUUACCAUGAUUAAAGCAGGUUGUGUGGAAAUCUGUCCUGACAGAGAACAGCUACUGUAAUAAUAAUGAAAAAUCAGACUGCUGGUUUUGAAUACCAUUAUUGUUAAACCAACUAUAGAGGAGACAAUACAGUUUGCACCAAAGACAACAUCAUCCACUAAUCUGGAAGUGUAGUCAUAUGGAAAGUCAUUUGAAGAGAAGAGCCAACAGGAAAAAAAUGAGAUGAAGAAGACAGGAGAGGGCCCUCCUACACAGGAGUACACUCCUGCUGAGGAGCUGUCCGUCUCCAAUAAGGAGGGCCACCCCUUAAUGAAAGGAGUGGAAGGGGGUGUUUCAUCAGACCGUGGUGGAAGUCGCAGCUGCUCCCAACGGGCCACAGGUCCAGGGACCAGGGAACUGGAGAACAAAAGAUAACCUAAUUAAAGAAGAACGAAU